rnacentral:rRNA from 1 species
UACGUAGGGGCCUAGCGUUGUCCGGAAUUAUUGGGCGUAAAGAGCUCGUAGGCGGUUCGGCAAGUCGGAUGUGAAAUCUCCACGCUCAACGUGGAGGGGCCAUUCGAAACUGCCGUGACUCGAGUCCGGUAGGGGAGUGUGGAAUUCCCGGUGUAGCGGUGAAAUGCGCAGAUAUCAGGAAGAACACCCGUGGCGAAGGCGGCUCUCUGGGACGGUACUGACGCUGAGACGCGAAAGCGUGGGGAGCGAACAGG